rnacentral:lncRNA from 1 species
AGAGAGUAGCAUUCCGCUAUUCCUGUUACGACAAACGCACAAACGAAAACAAAAUGACCAAUACAAAAUGAACAAACCACAAGCAGAAACAAAAGAAAACACACAGAUUUACGUGAAAAAUUUUUUACAGGAAAAAAUCACGGGCGAGGGAGGAGAGGACCUCACUAUCGAACAAAAAAGGAAAUACAAUGUUCAAAUAGUACAACCAACCACGAUUUUACACCUCUAGGGCAAAAAAAAAUAAAAAGGAAAACUCUUAACGAGUUUUGGAUCCGAUCCAUACCGUGCCUGAGCCCUCCGCUACCCACCACAGACAUUCAUUUUUUCUUUACAAUUUUACUUUCCAAUUUGAUCGCAUCGCAAAACUAUUGACGAGUCGAAAAUCCAAACUUGAGUUAAUUAUUAAUUUCGAGUCACAUCUAACAAUCCCAAU